GAUAUUGAGGUUGUUACAAUAUGCUUUAAAAGUAAUUACAAUAGAAAAUAGACUAAUUUCUGGAGUAGAGCGGUAUUUAAAGUUCAUCUCCUCUACUUAUUUAUAUUAAGUAAACACAGAAAAAAAAUGCGACAGGUUCAGAAAUUAAGGUCCCUGUCAUUAUUGCAGCAAGCUGCUUUCAAGCACAGUAGACAUGCAUAAAAAAAAUCCCAUGUUACCCGAAGCGAAAUAUUCAAGCGUGGAGAAAUGUCUUUGUGGUUCGUAGGAUUCCAGAUAUUUACAGCCAUCGAGAUACUGACUGGAAGAAUCUCAAAUUUAAGAUUGGAGAUGGUGCGGCGUGCCAGCUUCAACCUCCGCAAGGCCUCUCGCAGCUGCGACGCAGCAGUGGUGCCACUCCCUCCUGAACGCCUCGCAUCCGGAACUGCGCGUGGCUCUGAAAUCAACCAAUCAAACUGUCACCAAGCUUACUGACACCCUGUACGUGUGUUACAUGAUAUGUCAGAGGGCAGCUCACAUCAUCAUCAUUGCUGGAAUGUACUUUUUCCAAUAAAUUGUUUAUCAGUGGUCAAAAA